AAUCUCAUAAUUGAAUCCUUGCCACAUUGUACAUAACGUUUCAUCAAUAAUUGUUAAGCUUAAUUGCUCGUUAAC
rnacentral:tRNA from 1 species